rnacentral:misc_RNA from 1 species
AAACAUAUUAACAUAUUACAUAAAUCUUUAUAUUAAACAAGCAAAAUAUGUGCCUAGAACAAUUGAGAGUACCAUAAAUCUUCAUAAAUCACCUCUUAAAAUUUUUACUAUGCUCUUUCAACUAAAGACAAAUUAAACCUUUUUCCUUGCUGGUCCACAACUGGAGUUCCUCUUCUCCUUCAUGUCCACUGAGCAGGAAGGCUGCUCCACCAACUUAUUUAACGAGUAGGAAGACUGUUCCACCAAGAUCGGAGAAGAGAGAGAUGAGAGAUUGAGCAACUGGUUUAUGAAUUUUUUUCCUGCAGUAAAU